rnacentral:lncRNA from 1 species
GAUCGUCGAAUCUGUUGACCUGGCGCCACCGGAAAAAGAAAUUCCCGGGCCCUGGCUUCUUGGCCUGAUGGUGAGGCACCAGAGGCACUGCUAGCCUUGAAGCCUCCAGCCUGCUGGAUGCCUCCAUCCCCGGCUAUGCUGUGGCUCUCCUCAUUCUAGGCCUCCUGCUCGUCACAUUCACCCUUGUCCUGGUGCUAAAGUGGAGGGCCUCCCAUGGGGUGUUCAGCCUGGGUGUGUAGAAGCACACAGUGUGGUACAGAGGACCCUCUCCAGACAGAAAUGAUGCUGGGAGCUGACAGAAACUGAACUUAGGAGCACAGGAGGCCAGGAGACCUGGGACAGAGAACAGGAGGUGACCCCUCAUGCUGCUGCUCCCUCUGCUGAAACCCAAACUGCAAACCUCUCCUCUCCCUGCCUUCACCUUGCCCCACGGCUUCCACAGACAGUGCCUCAACCCCGAGGAAUGAAUCCGAAGUUCCAACACCACUGACUUUCCCAGGAACUCAGAGCCAGAGAGGGCCAAGGACCAGCUCGAGGACACACAGCCAGGGCUUCUUCCCUCCGAAACCCCCAAGGACUGGACUUGCAGGGCUGGGACAGAGGUGGGGUGGGGGAAAGCAAUGCCUUGUCAACCCACGUGGGGAGCCCCACUCCCAUCCCCAAGGUGCAUAAAGUUGAGGAACACC